rnacentral:rRNA from 1 species
GGGCGCACGCGCGCUACACUGACGGAGCCAGCGAGUACAUAACCUUGGCCGAGAGGUCUGGGUAAUCUUGUUAAACUCCGUCGUGCUGGGGAUAGAGCAUUGUAAUUAUUGCUCUUCAACGAGGAAUUCCUAGUAAGCGCAAGUCAUCAGCUUGCGUUGAUUACGUCCC